rnacentral:rRNA from 1 species
UUUUUCAAGCCGGGCAGUGGAUGGCUCGGUUCGAGAAGCCGACGAAGGACGUGGCAAGCUGCGAUAAGCUUGGGCGAGGUGCAUGCAGCCUUUGAGCCCAAGAUCUCCGAAUGGGACUUCCCAGCCAGCUUCGGCUGGCUACACGCAUCUUUGCGUGGGGCACACGCGGUGAACUGAAACAUCUAAGUAGCCGCAGGAAGAGAAAGCAACUGCGAUUUCCUCAGUAGCGGCGAGCAAACGGGAAACCAAAGCGCAAACUGAAUCCUAGGUUCGAGAGAACCGGGAGAUGUGGUUCGGCUCUCCGUCGUGUCCAAUAUCCGUAGUCCAACUCUCGCUGGAACGCGGGACCAUAGAGGGUGAAAGUCCCGUGGACGAUAGGAUUACCGACACUGGAGAUGCCAAGAGUAGCGUGGGUUGGAAAUCCUGCGUGAAUACACGAGGCACUGUCUCGUAACGCUGAACACUUCUCGAAUCCGAUAGCGCACUAAGUACCGUGAGGGAAAGCUGAAAAGUACUGUUCGAAGCAGACUGACAAGAUCCUCAAACUGUCCGGUCACAGGUUAGGCGGAGCACGAAAGCAUCGAAGCGUGUAACGAACCUGGCGAGAGCCACAAGUAGGAAAACGUGGAGCGGUGUUCCGUCAUCCGUAUUGAAAAACGGGGCAGAGAGUGUGCUCGCCGUGGCGAGACUAACCAGUUCUGCUGGGGAGUCGCAGCGAAAGCAAGAAGCCCGCAGCGCUUUUGCGUGAGGGGCCGCGUCGUAACAGGCGUGGAGUCACCGCGGCACGAUCCGAAACCGGUCGAUCCUGGCCUGGUCAGGGUGAAGCGAGGCGAAAGCCUCGUGGAGGCCCGCAAGCGUUGCUGUGAUACAAGCGCUCGCGUGAACUGGGCCAAGGGGUGAAAUGUCAAUCGAGAUCGGUGAUGGCUGGUUCUUCUCGAAAUGGAUCGAAGUCCAGCUUCGAGCGAUGCUGCCUGUAGAGGUAAAGCCACUGAUUGGGCUGUCCUAGGCCUUCGGGCCUAGGAACCCAGUCAAACUCUGAACUCUGCAGGGGCGCAGACCUCGGAAGUCAGGGACGGUGCGUAAGGUACCGUUCCGAGAGGGAAACAACCCAGAGCAAGGUUAAGGCCCCCAAUUCCUAGCUAAGUGUCAUGAAAGGGCGUCCCGGUUCUCAGACAGUGGGGAGGUUAGCUUAGAAGCAGCUACCCUUUAAAGAAAGCGUAACAGCUCACCCAUUGAGAACUGGGGCACCGAAAAUGGACGGGGCUCAAGCUAGGAGCCGAGACCUUGCCAUCGUUUCCACGAUGGGUAGGGAAGCGCUCCGCGCGGACGGAAGCAUGGCCGUGAGGUCGUGUGGACCGCCCGGAGACGAAGAUUCUGCCGGUAGUACCAACGUCAUUGGAAGUGAGAAUCUUCCUCGCCGAAAGGGGAAGGGUUCCUCGGCAACGAUCGUCGACCGAGGGUUAGCCGGACCUAACUCCAAUCCUAACUGGAACUGGAGGAACAGGGAAGCAGGUUAAUAUUCCUGCGCCAACUCACAGCACAUACACUUCGGGACAACGGUUGCUGCGUCUUCGCGCAGUCCAAGCGGUUGAUACGUGGCGAGCAUAAUGCCUCGACCCCGUGAAGCCGUGAUGGGUCUGGGAGUUAUCCCGGAUUUCCGUGCGUCCUGGAGGCUUUGAAAGGCUGUGAGAGACCGUACCGAGAACCAGCACAGGUCCCCAGGCUGAGAAGGCCAAGGCGUAUCGGGUGUCAACGCGGCUCAGGGAAUUCGGCAAGUUAGCCCCGUACGUUCGCAAUAUGGGGUGCCUAUCGUCUUGCUACGAUAGGUCGCAGUGUCUAGGCGGGCUCGACUGUUUACUAAAAACACAUCCGACUGCUAGUCCGAAAGGAUUUGUACAGUCGGAGACCCUUGCCCAGUGCCAGCACCUGAACACUCCGUUCAAGGAGACGAAGGGCUGGUAAACGGCGGCGCUAACUAUGAGCGUCUUAAGGUAUCCGCUACGAUGCCUUUCCCUGGCUAUAUGCUGGAACAUCUCGAAGAAGCAGACUGGAAUACUGGCUCCGAAAGGAGGUCAGCGAAUCCGAAAAUGUCUGUGGAUGAGACAAUCAGCAGGAAAGACUCUGGAUUUAGGAGUUUCCUCAGAGACUGUACGCCAGGCGACCUCGCAGAGAGGUUGAAGAGACAGUCCGACCUUCACAGCGAUGUGAAGAUGUUGCCUCGCGGCAGCGCGCAUCGAUACACAUCUCAUUCGGUGUCAGUAACCCGAGAUUUCAGGUGAAGUAACAGCAGUGAGCGUAGUCCCUUGCCAACUAAUUGUUGGCCCGAUUUAGUAGGGCAACGAGGUCCGCACUGUCCCGAGCCGUGGCCCGGUGAACCCACUAUACCGGCGCACAAGCCGGUGACUUCCAGUGGGAAGCGAAGACCCUGUGGAGCUUUGCUGCAGUCUAUCGUAGUUGUGGGGGUCCAGACAUGAAGCGUAGGUAGAAGACGUUACAGAGUCGCGUGCGCCAGCACGUCGACCAGUCAACCAUGGGACACUACCUGUCUGGAACCCUGCGACUCACCUCCAUCGUGGGGAACAGCGAUAGCUGGGCAGCUUAGCUGGGGCGGCAUCCCUCUGAUAGAGAAUCAGAGGGGUCCAAAGGUAGGCUCAACCCGGUCAGAAAUCGGGUGUAGAGGACAAGGCCAAAAGCCUGCCUGACUGGAACCUGAACGUUACGGGUUCUAGGCGCGGAAGCGUGGCCUAGCGAACCCCUAUGUGCCAAGCACUUGUGAGGCCUAGGUAUGACAGAAAAGUUACCCCAGGGAUAACUGGAUUGUCUACGGCGCGAGUUCAUAUCGACCCGUAGGUUUGUUACUUCGAUGUCGGCUCUCCGUAUCCUGGCUGUGCAACAGCAGCCAAGGGUGGGGGUGUUCACCCAUUAAAACGGAUCGUGAGCUGGGUUUAGAUCGGCGUGAGCCAGAUCGGUUGCUAUCUGCUGGAAGUGUCUACACGUGGUCUGAGAGGAAAGCUCGGACAGUACGAAAGGAACCCCGAGCUGAGGCCUCUGGUCUACCGGUCGUCCGAAAGGGCGGAGCCGGGUAGCUACGCCUCACGGAUGUAAGGGCUGAAAGCAUCUAAGCCCGAAAGUCUCCUCAAAAACAGAC